CCUACGGGUGGCAGCAGUGGGGAAUAUUGCACAAUGGGGGAAACCCUGAUGCAGCGACGCCGCGUGAGUGAAGAAGGAAUUCGGUAUGUAAAGCUCUAUCAGCAGGGAAGAAAAUGACGGUACCUGAGUAAGAAGCCCCGGCUAACUACGUGCCAGCCACCGCGGUAAUUCGUAGGGGGCACGCGUGAUCCGGUUUUACUUGGGGGAAAGGGAUCGUAGACGGGAGUGCAAGUCUGGAGUGAAAGGCGGGGGCUCAACCCCCGGACUGCGCUGGAAACUGUACGGCUGGAGUGCAGGAGAGGAAAGUGGAAUUCCUAGUGUAGCGGUGAAAUGCGUAGAUAUUAGGAGGAACACCAGUGGCGAAGGCGGCUUACUGGACUGUAACUGACGUUGAGGCUCGAAAGCGUGGGGAGCAAACAGGAUUAGAUACCCGAGUAGUC
rnacentral:rRNA from 1 species